GCAAGUGCCCUUUAAAGGACAGCCCAGAGCAAACAGCCCAGACCUCCAACAACAGAGUUCCAACACUAGCUGCAGUCAUGGUGUGAGAGGAUUCACAGAUAUGGAAUCUUCACAAGUGAAGAGGCGACAAGAGGAGCAAAUAGCACGAGGAAGCAGACACACAGCCUGAAGGGAGACUUGAACCCAGACCACCAGCUCUGUCUCUUCAGUGAGCCAACCAAUACAGAGAUUUAAGGAUGGACAACAGGACAGGAUCAGGACGUUUGCAUUGUCUUGGAUUAGGUACAGGUUUAGAAAACCAACUCUAAAGGUCAUCUUUUUGUUUGUUUGUUGACUGGAAGUCAGCAUCAGAAUUUGUUAAAAAUUUGCAGCCGUGCAGUGGCAGCGCACGCCUUUAAUCCCAGCACUCAGGAGGCAGAGGCAGGCGGAUCUCUGUGAGUCUGAGGCCAGCCUGGUCUACAGAGUGAGUUCCAGGACAGCCAGGGCUACACAGAGAAACCCUGUCUUGAAAGAGAAAAAAAAAGAAUUUAUUUUGAGUUGGGGAGAUGGCACUGUCAGUAGUGCUGUGUUGAAAGGUUCCUGAGAAUCUGAGAACACAAAGAACACUUUCUAAGAAGAAGGAGAAGGAGGAGGAGAGGAAGAAGAAAAAAGAAGAAGAAAAGAAAGAAAAACACCAGACUUUGAACUCUUUAGCUCUACUGAUCUCAUCCGAAGUUGAGGAUUUUCAACCAUCAUUUAACAGUCAAGACUCAUGGAGAUGCUCAACUGUUGUUUUAAAAAAUGAUAAGCAGUGCUGGUUACCAUGCGGAAAGGUCAUAAGGCACGAGCCACGACAAAACUCAGUAUCAGAGCUUUAUUAGGAGGAAUUGGAGGGGCAGGGCACAAAAGAACCAGGCGGGGGGGGGGGAGCAGAGGAGAGAGAACAGAGAAGGGAGAGGAGGAGUCUGUGUCCGGCUUUUUAAGGAUUCCCAUGCACAUGGUCAGGUAUGUAUGUGGAGCUACACCACACAUGUGCUGAUUGUGUGACUGCUGCAUGCAAUGUGUGAUCACGCAGCAUAAUGAUGACGCAAGAUGUAAGACUCCUUGCUUAGCUGCUGAGCUGCACAUGUGUGGUCAUGCAGCUGGAGCGGCGGCAGAAUCCUAACAUCAACCAUACAUGUUUAUGAUUCUCCUUAGGUAUCCAGGAGUAUGGCAGUGUCUGUAUGAACUUUAAAUGCUUCGUGAUUUAUUUUUGACACACACUCAGGGUUGAGACUAGCAGUAUACGCUAGUAAAAAAAUCCUCGCCUUUCUGUCUGUGCCAGUGUUUCACUUCUUUGAGGAUGUGUCUCUCUGAGGUGGUAGCUGUGUCUUCAAGGAUACCUGAGCACACCAGGGUGGACUCAGCAUAGGCUCAGGCUGGAAAUCAGAGAGUAAUGAACACAGACGUGAACUUGAAGCUGUAAGAAUGAUGCAUGGUGGUAGGUUAGAGUUGGAAGAAGAAAAGAAACUUGGGGGCUAAGCCUUGGGAAAUGUAAUCUUGGACUGUUGGAGGCAGGGAAUACAAGAAAGAUCUAAGUGUGCUGUAGAACUGACUUCAAAAAAUUACCCACUCACAUGUAAAAUCAGCUCUGCAGCUCUUGU